CGGAGAGGAGCUGGGCCCCAGUCCCUAAAGCAGCUCACACUCCCUUCGUAGGGCUGUGCUGUCUGUUCUAACGGACACCCAGAGUGGAGACGACAGAGGUCAGUGGCCAGGCGUGUUUCCCUUCACGGAGAUGACAGAAGGUCAGCGGCCAGGCGUGUUUCCCUUCGGGUGACGACAGGAGGUCAGUGGCCAGGCGUUUCCCUUCGCAGAGACGAAGGAAGUCAGUGGCCAGGCGUUUCCCUUCGUGGAGAUGAAGGAAGUCAGUGGCCAGGCGUGUUUCCCUUCGGGAGAAGCGGUG
rnacentral:lncRNA from 1 species